rnacentral:SRP_RNA from 1 species
GCUGGGUAUGGUGGUGCAUGCCUGUAAUCCCAGCUACUCGGGAGGCUGAGGCAGGAGAAUCGCUUGAACCCAGGAGGUGGUGGUUGCAGUGAGCCAAGAUCAUGCCACUACACUCCAGCCUGGGCAACAGAGUGAGACUCUGUCUCAA